CUUUGCAUCUAUUUGGAAUUUUGCAAACCCAUAGGGUUUUGACAAUAGAAAGGGGUUUAUUGCAAUAAGAUAAGCUACCCCAUAAUUUUUGGUAUUUAAUUUACAGUUGAAAAACUAUUUUGUAUUUAAAUAACAUUGCACUAGAGGCAAUUAUAUAGACAAAAGUAUUUUUCAAGUAUUUUAUUUUGAAGGGAAUUUAGUCCCAAGAGUUGAAUCAUAUAAGUAUAUGAUUCUACAAAUUUUCUGGAAUUUAUAUGAGUUCAUUUGGAGUUCAAAAUCAAAAGUUAUAAAGGAAAAACAGAAAAAGGAAAGGAGAAAAGAAAAGAACAAAAAAAAAGGAAACGGACCGGCCCGGCCGAAUGGGCCGAACCGGCCCAGUCACCCCGCGCGAACGACCAGCCCAGCCAACAAGCCAGCCCGCGCGCCCGAGCUGAGCCACUGACAGGUGGGGCUUACCUGUCAGGUGCUUCUUCCCCAAAGAGAUAAGAGCAGAAUCUAGCCUAAACGCGCCUUAAUGCCUGAGCUUUGAAGAUGCGAUUUAGAGCGCCAUGAAGCCCCAUCUUAAAGCUCCCUCCCGUCACU
rnacentral:lncRNA from 1 species